AUUGAACGCUGGCGGCAUGCCUUACACAUGCAAGUCGAACGGCAGCGGACCUUCGGGUGCCGGCGAGUGGCGAACGGGUGAGUAAUAUAUCGGAACGUACCUUUCAGUGGGGGAUAACGUAGCGAAAGUUACGCUAAUACCGCAUAUUCUGUGAGCAGGAAAGCAGGGGAUCGCAAGACCUUGCGCUGAUUGAGCGGCCGAUAUCAGAUUAGCUAGUUGGUGAGGUAAAGGCUCACCAAGGCGACGAUCUGUAGCGGGUCUGAGAGGAUGAUCCGCCACACUGGAACUGAGACACGGUCCAGACUCCUACGGGAGGCAGCAGUGGGGAAUUUUGGACAAUGGGCGCAAGCCUGAUCCAGCCAUGUCGCGUGCAGGAUGAAGGCGCUCAGCGUUGUAAACUGCUUUUGGAUGGGAAUAAUAACCUCGACGUGUCGGGGCGUUGAAGGUACCGAUCAGAAUAAGCACCGGCUAACC
rnacentral:rRNA from 1 species